AGUUUUGCACAGUGGCAGUGUCAUAACCAAUGAGGUUUAUCCGAGGUGUGAUUAUUGUUAAUUGAAUCUAAAAUGGAAUCAAUUG
ensembl:snRNA U4 U4 spliceosomal RNA